rnacentral:rRNA from 1 species
UACGUAGGGGGCUAGCGUUGUCCGGAAUCAUUGGGCGUAAAGGGGGCGUAGGCGGCGCGGUAAGUCGGGUGUGAAAUCUCGGGGCUUAACUCCGAAACUGCAUUCGAUACUGCCGUGCUUGAGGACUGGAGAGGAGACUGGAAUUUACGGUGUAGCGGUGAAAUGCGUAGAUAUCGUAAGGAAGACCAGUGGCGAAGGCGGGUCUCUGGACAGUUCCUGACGCUGAGGCACGAAGGUCAGGGGAGCAAACGGG